rnacentral:rRNA from 1 species
UACGUAGGCAGCGAGCGUUGUUCGGAGUUACUGGGCGUAAAGGGUGUGUAGGCGGUUGCUUAAGUUUGGUGUGAAAUCUCCCGGCUCAACCGGGAGGGUGCGCCGAAUACUGAGUGACUAGAGUGCGGGAGAGGAAAGUGGAAUUCCUGGUGUAGCGGUGAAAUGCGUAGAUAUCAGGAGGAACACCGGUGGUGUAGACGGC